rnacentral:rRNA from 1 species
GACGAAGGGGGCAAGCGUUGUUCGGAAUUACUGGGCGUAAAGGGCGCGUAGGCGGCUCUGUAAGUCAGGCGUGAAAGCCCUGGGCUCAACCUGGGAGUGGCGCUUGAUACUGUGGGGCUAGAGAGCGGGAGAGGAUGGUGGAAUUCCCAGUGUAGAGGUGAAAUUCGUAGAUAUUGGGAAGAACACCGGUGGCGAAGGCGGCUAUCUGGCCCGUAAUUGACGCUGAGGCGCGAAAGCGUGGGGAGCAAACAGG